CCCUGACUGUCAACACAGCUGACGAUGCCAGCAACCUGGAAAAACGAACGUGUGCUCUUUUCCUGAUUUACGUGGACAGAAGUAACUACUGACAUAGCCAGGGGUAGUGGAUGCCUAUCCCAAAUGUCCCUGUGUAACUGGGAACUCUCGCCCUGACUAAAGAUAGCAGCUGAAAGAAGGAUGUAUGGAGAAGCCACUCUCUUGGGACGUGUGCCUCCCUGGACUGCACUAUGACACAGCGUAACACGACACAUGUUUUCCUGAACCACUACGUGAAGGCUGAGAACCGUGCACCCUAGAUCCUGAAGGGAGAAGUGCUAUGAGAGGAUGGGGACUCUGAAACCCACAAGUGCACAUUCCAGAGAUGAUGGAGACAUGUUUGUGCACUCAGCUUAAGAACAGAGAAGGAUAUGGGGAACUUUCUGGGCAUGGAUUUGGCUUGUAGCCUUUUGGGGAGCAAGAUUCUGCCUCAGGUUUAUUGGAACAAACACCCCAGGAGGACACCAGCUCCAUGCAGACAGCAGCCUGGGGGUCAUACCAGUCCUUCCACCCUCCCAUCUGCAGACAGGUGUAUACUGUGGGGCCUUCAUGGUGGGCUGGGCACCUUUGGGAGCUUAACCAUGAGUUGGAGCUGCAGCUGCAUCUGCAGUCUGGGACUUGGUUUGAGCCUUGGCUUUGAUCUUUAGCUGUCAGAGCCUGAGACCCUUGACAAUGAGGCACAAGAAAGUUUCCCAAGAUAGGGGCAAGCAAUGUAGGCAAGCCAACUGAGCUUGCGUCUGCCACCCUUUGGGAUCUUCAGCUUGACCUCCUUGGACUUAUUGAGGGUUUUGAUAGCCUCGCAUUAUACAGUCAUGGCUCUGAUGUUGUCGGCCUGCAGCUUCUUCAGGCCCUUGUACUUUUGACCAAGCAAAUGUUCCUCAGAAACUUCAAGUCUACUCCCUUAAAAGAUUCAUAUUAUUUUUGUGAUCAGGGUUUCUUGAUUCCAUUUCCAUGCCAUUUUUGGGACUGGUUAUGCAUGGUGUGGUUCUUGGACUUGGCCAUAUCUAGACCCAAGCCCUGAAACCAUGUUAACACUAAGAUGAAUGCUUAGAAGUUCAGCAAUAUUGGAUUUUUCCUCUUAAUUUGAGCUGCUUACUUAAUUGGUGUAAUUUGCUAUACAUCAGUACUAUGUUCAUAAGUAAUUUGUUCUAUUAACCAUUUUAAUAGCUAGUUGGUUCUAUUAACCAUUUUAAAUUUCACAAAUAGCUAGUUGCAUAGUAAACAGGGUAGUAUGCCUCUUUACAGAUCUGAAUAUGAUUCAGAUAUAAAUGUUUCUACAAAUAUAAAUGCUUCAUUUCCUAAAUUCCAACACUAGCUUAUGUAUAUAGAAAUACAUCCAGUUGUACAAUUUUUAAAGGCCAUCAUUAGAGAGCAAGUAAGACUGUGGCUUUUUUUAAGCUCCUGAUUUAUUUCUUCCAUUUGUUUUAACUGUUCUCAGAUGUAGCUGAAUCUUGAUCAUUCCAGGAUGAUGGCAGGUAGAAUUUGGAGAUUAAUAUGAAAGCAAAUUCCUCCUUAGAAUUGUAGUUAUGUACUGGUUUUGGCACUGUUUAAUUAGAUAUAAGGAUGCAGAAUCUAACCAGAAUUGUUAAGAAAGUAGCUUGCUCAACUGCUAGGGCCAUUGGAACUUAACAAAGAUCUCCAUAAGUGCCACUAACUGAUUAGGAUUUAAGUUUUCUGACAUGGCUCCCAUCUAAACUCAGGGCUUUUUUAAGGUAUGCAUUGAAAAUUGUCCUACUUAUUGUUCUAAUUUGUUUAAUGUAUCUCAUCAUCAAACUUCAUGUUCUGUACAACCAGGUACUUAAAGUUCCCUAUGAAGAUCCAACUAAUAACUGCAUCAAGCCACUACAUAAACUUGUCAUAAUCCAUGACAGUUAAAAUCUUUUUCCUAUUGCAUAAUAGAUUAGUUGUUGAUCCACCCAAAAUCAAUAAACUUUUACUGACCCUGGCCAAGUGGCUCAGUUGGUUGGAGAUUCAUCCCAUACACCAAAAGGUUGUGGGUUCAAUCCUCAGUCAGGGCAUAUACCUAGGUUACAGGUUUGAUCCCCAGUUGAGGUCUCUUUCUCUUUUUCUCUGUCUCUUCCUUUCUCUCUAAAAUCAAUAAACAUAUCCUAGGGUGAGAAUUAAAAAAAAGAAAAAAAACUUUAACUUGAACAAGCCCCCAGUGCUGAAUGUCUUUCACCAAUGCCCUAUGAUUUUCUUAAUGUUAUAAAAUGAGUGCCUUUGGUUGUUCUUUAAUUCUUCUUGAGUUGUCUUAGCCAUUGUAUAGGAUAUUGUGAAGAAACCUUACUGAGACCAUGCUAAAUCAACAUCUUGAGACAGGCUUUCCCUUGGAAAAUUUCUCUAAGUUUGAGAGGUGCCUUAUAAAACUCUUGUAAGCAAAUGCCCUAGUUACAGGAUUGACAACUUUCCAACCACAGGAGUCCCACCAAAUGACUAAAUAGACUUGGAGCAGGUAGCCAAAUCAUAGAAUUUAUAUGGAAAAAACUGGCCUGAUAAUCAUUAACACUGUCUGCCAACAGAUUUUGAUCAACAGGAGGAAAUGUGAACCCUGGGGGAAAAUACAUCUGUCAAAAUGAACUUGUGAAGUUCAUUGGGACCAAAUUCAUAACCAGAGUCUAGGGGCAGUUGCUGACAAAGACCUCUCACAUACUCUGCAUGUCAGGAAAGCCAUAAAUUGAGCUUUCAACUUCCUGUAUUAUGCUUCUGUUACCUGAGUCAACCAUUAUAAGGGAGUUCUUAGAUUCAUCUUUCAGCCAAUGGACUGACACCUGCCCCAUCCAAUCAGAGCUGCAAAAUUAUAUCCUCAUUUGCAUCUAUUCUGGACAAUCAGAAUGCAUAAUGGUGACCAAUCAGAACUGCACAAUUUGGACCAAUGGGAACUGUAUUAUUUUGAAACUUCAUUUACAUAAAAUGGACCAAAUUGGGAACCUGGGAGGGAACUUUCUGUAUAAAAGGUGCCACCCCACUUUGUCUCAGCGGAGUACACUUUCAGUUUUCCACUGGAGGCUGUUUUCCCAGUUUGCAAACUGUUCACCUGAAUAAAUUUGCUCAUUGCUGUACCUCUUUGGGAAUUUUUGCUGACAAAACUGAUUGUACUAUUUUUUUUUCAAGAUUUUAUGUAUCUUUAGAGGGGAAGGGAAGGAGAUAGGGAGACAAUAUUAUUGUAUGGUUGCCUCUCAUUGGCCCCCUGCUGGGCACUGGCCUGCAACCCAGGCAUGUGCCCUGACUGAGAAUCAAACCAUGAUCCUCUGAUUCACAGGCCUGCACUCAAUCCACUCAGCUACACCAGCCAGGGCUGAUUGUACUAUUUUAUAUUCCUACCAGCAGUAUAUGAAUAAUCCAGUUUUUCUUCAUUUUUGCCAACAUUUGAUUUUAUUGUUUCUUAUUUUGGCAAUUUUGAUAGCUGUUCUGAUAUUCUACUGGGUUUAAAUUUCCUAAUGGGUAAUCAUGUUGAACACCUUGUUUAUUUGACACUCAUGUAUCUUCUAUUUUGUAGACACUAGUCCUUUGUUGGGUAUGUGGCUUUUACAUUUUUUCCCUAU